rnacentral:rRNA from 1 species
GAUGAACGCUGGCGGCGUGCCUAAUACAUGCAAGUCGAGCGAACAGACGAGGAGCUUGCUCCUCUGACGUUAGCGGCGGACGGGUGAGUAACACGUGGAUAACCUACCUAUAAGACUGGGAUAACUUCGGGAAACCGGAGCUAAUACCGGAUAAUAUAUUGAACCGCAUGGUUCAAUAGUGAAAGACGGUUUUGCUGUCACUUAUAGAUGGAUCCGCGCCGCAUUAGCUAGUUGGUAAGGUAACGGCUUACCAAGGCAACGAUGCGUAGCCGACCUGAGAGGGUGAUCGGCCACACUGGAACUGAGACACGGUCCAGACUCCUACGGGAGGCAGCAGUAGGGAAUCUUCCGCAAUGGGCGAAAGCCUGACGGAGCAACGCCGCGUGAGUGAUGAAGGUCUUCGGAUCGUAAAACUCUUUUAUUAGGGAAGAAAAAAUGUGUAAGUAACUAUGCACGUCUUGACGGUACCUAAUCAGAAAGCCACGGCUAACUACGUG